UCGGAGAGAACCUCUAGUAUUGAGGGUUUCAGAAGAACACUAGAAUGAGAAAGGCUUGGAAAAAGGGCUGAUCUGAGUCAGAUAAGUCAGAACAGGCUAAAAACACCAUAAUGUGCCGGAGCUAGGCUGGAGAUGGCCAUAGAACCUUGAAUUGGCAAAGAUCUGAAUGGUCACCAUCGAGGUCAAACCUCGAACCUUGGAAUAACAAGUGUUUAAGCAUAGGGAGAUAAGUUUAAGACAUCCAUGGCGUGAGAGUCCAUGGAUUCUGGUGAGAUCGAGGUUGAAGAUGGUGAGAGAGGCUAGGGUUUCGAGAGAGUUU
rnacentral:lncRNA from 1 species